rnacentral:lncRNA from 1 species
AAAUUCCCGGAGUCAGGUGACCUGGCCCCGGAGCUGCUCCCGGGACCUGCGGGAGGUGCUCUGCGACUGCCCACGCCCCGGCCCGCGGCGCGUCCCGGACGUCCACGCUCGCUUUUCUGCGGAUCGUGGGAAUCCUUCUGCAUGGGAGUUUUAGAAAUGCUAACCGAGCUCAGGUUUUGAACAUGUCCGGGACUGUACAUUGGCUGCCAGAAUGAAGUGAGUAACUGCUAUCUAACGUCUGUUAAAAGCUGAUGGGAUAAACAGGUGGUUACAUGAUUUGAGGAGGGGAAAAUAUGAUGUUGUGAAGAUCCUCUUAGCCAUCACAAAGAUAUGGCAGGCGUGUGAAGGACAAUUGUGUGUAUUCAUUAGCUGCUUCCACCAAGCAAGAAUCUGCAUCAAAAGGAAGAAAUUACCAGUGCUGCUACAUUUAAACUCAGCCUGGGCCAGCAGCCAUGAGCAGUGGCCACAGUGAACCUUGGAGGCCAUUAGGCAGUGGCUACAGGCUUGGCAGAUCCGUGGAGAGUCGCUCUGCAAAGGAUGGAGGUCUGGUUCCUAUUCCUGGGACAUUGUUCUUGAGACCCAGCGCUGACUGGGCUCUACACUAGGGGACUUGUUGGACACAGAAUUGAACCAUUAUACGUGGUUACCAUCUAGAAAGGCUAUCUUUCUCUUAUAAAGCAAAUCUCCUCCAGACACUUUGACACCACACCACUCAAGUGGGGCAGAUGGUACAUCCGUUCCUCUUGUCUUCCUACUGUGUGGGGAUCUAGGCUCAGGCUCCUUUGGUGACUGACAGUCUAGGGUUUUUCAGACUGAAAUAUUUGGCAGUGUAGAGGAGAGAGCCUCAGCAACCCUGAGUAAGGAUUCGAAGCUCUCAGUUCAGAGUGAAUGUGGACUGUUGAUGUGGACCAUGGCAAGGACCAAUGUCUCAGGCCUAUAUAGGAAGUUGGCAAAACUUCUUCUGCCGGGACUGCUCCCAACAGAGACUUCCUACUGAGGCGAGCUAACGAGCUAACUCCUCCCCACUGUGCUGCGAUAGCUGAGGCCCCCUCAGCCCACCUACCACCUCACCCAGCAUUUUUGUGGAGAUGGGUCUGUCCUUUCUGUAUUCCCUUACCACUUCUUGUCAGGUUUACAAGAUGAAGCUCUGCUGAACACUGCAUUCAAGAAAAACAAAUGAUAAUGUUUGUUGCAAUGAUAAAAUCCAUUUUUGUCGGGAGAUGAAAUCCUCGGCUCAGACAUUCUGUGCAAGUACUUGGUUGCUGCACGACAGACCAGCCUACGAUUCAAGCUCUUUGACAUAAAACUAAUUUCUUUUUUUCUUCGAAAAAUCUGUUUUCAUUAUGAACCCAUGAGUUUCCCAAAAUGUGAAAGACUUUGCUGAUUAACUUGGUCGGGCCAUAUACAAACAUAGUUUUGAUAUUGUAUAAUAAAAAGUGAGAGCAUUAACAGCACUUAUAAUUCAGUGACUGAAUGACCAAUGUAUAAUGUGUCCAAAGCAUUCACAGGAAGAGGUUCUGCUCCAAGUGCAAAAUAGAAUAGUGGAAUUUAAUGUAUCAGUAAUAAGUCCACCUUGUCAUUCAAGAACUAUAAUUCAUUUUAAAAGAGGGUUUCUUUUCUUUCUUUUUCUUCCUCCUCUUUCUCCUGCCUUCCUUCCUUCCUUCCUUCCUUCCUUCCUUCCUUCCUUCCUUCCUUCCUUCCUCCCUCCCUCCCUCUCUCUCUCUCUUUCUUUCUUUCUUGUUAUUAUUUAUUUAUUUAUUUAUUUUUAUGCAGGGGAACAAACUGAGGGCCCUGAGCAUGCUAGGCAAGUUAUCCUUCUGCAGAGCUGCUUGCCAAUUAACUCAUCAUGAGCAAAGCCUCGCUUGUCAUGUUUAAGACAGAAACAAAGGAGAUGGUCGUAUAUUACGUGAAACAAGUAUACAAAAACAUUCCUCCCUUUUAUAGUGACAGCUAUCCCCCAGCCCCACAUUCAUGGAGGAUCCCCAGAGCACAGCAGAAUAUGCAAAUGCUUAAGUCCUCCGUGGGAAAUGCCGAGCAGUUUGCAUAUAUUCUCCCAUGCACUUUAAAUCACCCCAGGAUUAUUUACAAUACCUGACAUGAUGUAAGCAUUCUAUAAAUGCUUGUUAUCGUGUGCUCUUUAAAGAAUAAUGAGAGGGAUCGGGGCAAGGUCCUUACAUGUUUAUUACCAGUGCACGUUAAACCAUAUUUUGACUCUUUGGUUGGGUGAAUUUGCAGAUGUGGAAACUGGGUCUAUAGAAGACUGACUGCUAUUAUCUAUGUAUGACCAGACUUCCUUCAAAUAGUUCAACCAAAGCAACACAUUGCAGCAAAUUAAAUGCAGAAGCAGAGAUGAGAUUCCAGAUGUCUUUUGUUAGGCUAAACUUUAAAGAACUUGCAAAAAUGCAAAAAUAAUUUCAAUUCUGUCAUUUAAUGUUCUUUCACUGUGAAAGUAUGUUCCUUUGUCAUAAAACUACAUUAUGAUAACAUGUUACAG